rnacentral:rRNA from 1 species
UACGUAGGUGGCAAGCGUUGUCCGGAUUUAUUGGGUUUAAAGGGUGCGUAGGCGGUUCUGUAAGUCAGUGGUGAAAUCCGGCAGCUCAACUGUCGAUGUGCCAUUGAUACUGCAGAACUUGAGUACAGACGAGGUAGGCGGAAUUGACGGUGUAGCGGUGAAAUGCGCAGAUAUCAGGAGGAACACCAAUGGCGAAGGCAGCACUCUGGGACGGUACUGACGCUGAGACGCGAAAGCGUGGGGAGCAAACAGG